rnacentral:tRNA from 1 species
AGGGGUAUAGUUCAGUUGGUAGAACGUCGGUCUCCAAAACCGGAUGUCGAGGGUUCGAGUCCUUCUGCCCCUG